AAGAAGUUGGCUAAAUGAGCGUUGGGAUCUUCAUUCUACAAACCAUCAAACUGAACAAAUUGCUAUAUCAUUUGAAUAGUGUUAGGUUUUAAUUCAAAAGUAUUUGUAGCUACAGCAGGUCUAACUAUGCUUGAUUCAGUUCCUGUUAAAGAAGGUUUAGCAUAAUCAUACAUAGUGCGUGGAGCAGGAUUUUGAUUAACCGCAAUUGCAGGAGGUAGCUGACCACCUUGGUUUUCAGCCAUCUCUUCCGUUGGG
rnacentral:lncRNA from 1 species